UACGUAGGGGGCGAGCGUUGUCCGGAGUUACUGGGCGUAAAGCGCACGCAGGCGGUCUGCUAAGUUUGGAGUGACAGUUGGUGGCUUAACUGCCAAAGUGCUUCGAAAACUGACAGACUUGAGGGCUUCAGAGGGACACGGAUUCCGGGUGGAGUGGAUGAAUGACGGUAGAUAUCUGGAAGAACACCAAUGGCGAAAGGCAAUGUUCUGGCUCGUUUCUGACGCUCAGGUGCGAAAGCCAGGGGAGCGAACGGG
rnacentral:rRNA from 1 species